rnacentral:rRNA from 1 species
UACGUAGACCUCAAGCGUUAUCCGGAUUUAUUGGGCGUAAAGCGUAUGUAGGAGGUUCGAUGCGUCUCACGUUAAAGCCCACCGCCCAACGGUGGAAGUGCGUGGGAUACGAUCGGACUUGAGGAGGUUAGAGGUGUGUGGAACUCACGGUGUAGGGGUGAAAUCCGUUGAUAUCGUGGGGAACACCAAAGGCGAAGGCAUCACACUGGGACCUUCCUGACUCUGAGAUACGAAAGCGUGGGGAGCAAAAAGG